UCUCCUGGAAAACGGGUGGUAAUGCCGGAUGCUCCGACAUGACGCAUGUUGUGUCGGGAAAGAUUCAUCGGUAUGGGAUGGGGUCGCGUCCUAUCAGCUUGAUGGCGGGGUAACGGCCCACCAUGGCUUCGACGGGUAGCCGGCCUGAGAGGGCGACCGGCCACAUUGGGACUGAGAUACGGCCCAGACUCCUACGGGAGGCAGCAGUGGGGAAUAUUGCACAAUGGGCGCAAGCCUGAUGCAGCGACGCCGCGUGCGGGAUGACGGCCUUCGGGUUGUAAACCGCUUUUGACUGGGAGCAAGCCCUUCGGGGUGAGUGUACCUUUCGAAUAAGCACCGGCUAACUACGUGCCAGCAGCCGCGGUAAUACGUAGGGUGCAAGCGUUAUCCGGAAUUAUUGGGCGUAAAGGGCUCGUAGGCGGUUCGUCGCGUCCGGUGUGAAAGUCCAUCGCUUAACGGUGGAUCCGCGCCGGGUACGGACGGGCUUGAGUGCGGUAGGGGAGACUGGAAUUCCCGGUGUAACGGUGGAAUGUGUAGAUAUCGGGAAGAACACCA
rnacentral:rRNA from 1 species